AGCAACGCGCAGAACCUUACCAACCCUUGACAUCCUUGGACCGCUAGAGAGAUCUAGUUUUCUCGUAAGAGACCAAGUGACAGGUGCUGCAUGGCUGUCGUCAGCUCGUGUCGUGAGAUGUUCGGUUAAGUCCGGCAACGAGCGCAACCCACAUCUUUAGUUGCCAGCAGGUUAAGCUGGGCACUCUAGAGAAACUGCCCGUGAUAAGCGGGAGGAAGGUGUGGAUGACGUCAAGUCCUCAUGGCCCUUACGGGUUGGGCUACACACGUGCUACAAUGGCAUCAACAAUGGGUUAAUCCCUAAAAGAUGUCUCAGUUCGGAUUGGGGUCUGCAACUCGACCCCAUGAAGUCGGAAUCGCUAGUAAUCGCGUAACAGCAUGACGCGGUGAAUACGUUCCCGGGCCUUGNUNCACACCGCCCNGUCACACCAUGGGNNAGUUGGAUCUACCCGAAGGNCGUGCGCNANCCNNNANGGGNG
rnacentral:rRNA from 1 species